AGAGUUUGAUCAUGGCUCAGAUUGAACGCUGGCGGCAGGCCUAACACAUGCAAGUCGAGCGGUAGCACAGAGAGCUUGCUCUCGGGUGACGAGCGGCGGACGGGUGAGUAAUGUCUGGGAAACUGCCUGAUGGAGGGGGAUAACUACUGGAAACGGUAGCUAAUACCGCAUAACGUCGCAAGACCAAAGUGGGGGACCUUCGGGCCUCAUGCCAUCAGAUGUGCCCAGAUGGGAUUAGCUAGUAGGUGGGGUAACGGCUCACCUAGGCGACGAUCCCUAGCUGGUCUGAGAGGAUGACCAGCCACACUGGAACUGAGACACGGUCCAGACUCCUACGGGAGGCAGCAGUGGGGAAUAUUGCACAAUGGGCGCAAGCCUGAUGCAGCCAUGCCGCGUGUGUGAAGAAGGCCUUCGGGUUGUAAAGCACUUUCAGCGGGGAGGAAGGCGGUGAGGUUAAUAACCUCAUCGAUUGACGUUACCCGCAGAAGAAGCACCGGCUAACUCCGUGCCAGCAGCCGCGGUAAUACGGAGGGUGCAAGCGUUAAUCGGAAUUACUGGGCGUAAAGCGCACGCAGGCGGUCUGUCAAGUCGGAUGUGAAAUCCCCGGGCUCAACCUGGGAACUGCAUUCGAAACUGGCAGGCUAGAGUCUUGUAGAGGGGGGUAGAAUUCCAGGUGUAGCGGUGAAAUGCGUAGAGAUCUGGAGGAAUACCGGUGGCGAAGGCGGCCCCCUGGACAAAGACUGACGCUCAGGUGCGAAAGCGUGGGGAGCAAACAGGAUUAGAUACCCUGGUAGUCCACGCCGUAAACGAUGUCGAUUUGGAGGUUGUGCCCUUGAGGCGUGGCUUCCGGAGCUAACGCGUUAAAUCGACCGCCUGGGGAGUACGGCCGCAAGGUUAAAACUCAAAUGAAUUGACGGGGGCCCGCACAAGCGGUGGAGCAUGUGGUUUAAUUCGAUGCAACGCGAAGAACCUUACCUGGUCUUGACAUCCACAGAACUUUCCAGAGAUGGAUUGGUGCCUUCGGGAACUGUGAGACAGGUGCUGCAUGGCUGUCGUCAGCUCGUGUUGUGAAAUGUUGGGUUAAGUCCCGCAACGAGCGCAACCCUUAUCCUUUGUUGCCAGCGGUCCGGCCGGGAACUCAAAGGAGACUGCCAGUGAUAAACUGGAGGAAGGUGGGGAUGACGUCAAGUCAUCAUGGCCCUUACGACCAGGGCUACACACGUGCUACAAUGGCAUAUACAAAGAGAAGCGACCUCGCGAGAGCAAGCGGACCUCAUAAAGUAUGUCGUAGUCCGGAUUGGAGUCUGCAACUCGACUCCAUGAAGUCGGAAUCGCUAGUAAUCGUAGAUCAGAAUGCUACGGUGAAUACGUUCCCGGGCCUUGUACACACCGCCCGUCACACCAUGGGAGUGGGUUGCAAAAGAAGUAGGUAGCUUAACCUUCGGGAGGGCGCUUACCACUUUGUGAUUCAUGACUGGGGUGAAGUCGUAACAAGGUAACC
rnacentral:rRNA from 1 species